rnacentral:rRNA from 1 species
CUUACACAUGCAGUCGAACGGUGAAGCGGAGCUUGCUCUGCGGAUCAGUGGCGAACGGGUGAGUAACACGUGAGCAACCUACCCCUGACACUGGGAUAACAGUUGGAAACAGCUGCUAAUACCGGAUAUGACCCUGGCAGGCAUCUGCCGGGGUGGAAAGCUCCGACGGUCAGGGAUGGGCUCGCGGCCUAUCAGCUUGUUGGUGAGGUAACGGCUCACCAAGGCGACGACGGGUAGCCGGCCUGAGAGGGCGACCGGCCACACUGGGACUGAGAUACGGCCCAGACUCCUACGGGAGGCAGCAGUGGGGAAUAUUGCACAAUGGGCGAAAGCCUGAUGCAGCAACGCCGCGUGCGGGAUGACGGCCUUCGGGUUGUAAACCGCUUUCAGCAGGGACGAAGCUAACGUGACGGUACCUGCAGAAGAAGCACCGGCUAACUACGUGCCAGCAGCCGCGGUGAUACGUAGGGUGCGAGCGUUGUCCGGAAUUAUUGGGCGUAAAGAGCUUGUAGGCGGUUUGUUGCGUCGGAAGUGAAAACUCAGAGCUUAACUCUGAGCCUGCUUUCGAUACGGGCAGACUUGAGGGAUGUAGGGGAGAACGGAAUUCCUGGUGGAGCGGUGGAAUGCGCAGAUAUCAGGAGGAACACCAGUGGCGAAGGCGGUUCUCUGGACAUUUCCUGACGCUGAGAAGCGAAAGCGUGGGGAGCAAACAGGCUUAGAUACCCUGGUAGUCCACGCCGUAAACGGUGGGCACUAGGUGUGGGACCCUUCCACGGGUUCCGUGCCGUAGCUAACGCAUUAAGUGCCCCG